rnacentral:rRNA from 1 species
UCACCUACGGGGGGCAGCAGUGGGGAAUAUUGGGCAAUGGAGGAAACUCUGACCCAGCAAUGCCGCGUGAAUGAAGAAGGUCUUCGGAUUGUAAAGUUCUUUAGUCAGGGAAGAAGUCAAUGACGGUACCUGAAGAAUAAGCUCCGGCUAACAACGUGCCAGCAGCCGCGGUAAUACGUAGGGAGCAAGCGUUGAUCGGAAUGACUGGGCGUAAAGGGUGCGUAGGCGGUUGUACAAGGUAGAAGUGAAAUACCCCAGGCCUAAAUUGGGAGCUGCUU